GCCGGCAACUAGCUCUCUGCAACUCACAUGGUCGCCCACUGAAGCCAAGCAGGGUUGCGCCCGGUGAGUACCUGAAUGGGAGACCACAUGAGGAAGCUAGGUUGCUGCCGGAA
rnacentral:rRNA from 1 species